rnacentral:rRNA from 1 species
AUUGAACGCUGGCGGCAUGCCUUACACAUGCAAGUCGAACGGCAGCGCGGACUUCGGUCUGGCGGCGAGUGGCGAACGGGUGAGUAAUACAUCGGAACGCACCCUGUUGUGGGGGAUAACUAGUCGAAAGAUUAGCUAAUACCGCCUACGACCUGAGGGUGAAAGUGGGGGACCGCAAGGCCUCACGCAGCAGGAGCGCCCGAUGUCUGAUUAGCUAGUUGGUGGGGUAAAGGCACACCAAGGCGACGAUCAGUAGCUGGCCUGAGAGGACGUUCAGCCACACUGGGACUGAGACACGGCCCAGACUCCUACGGGAGGCAGCAGUGGGGAAUUUUGGACAAUGGGGGCAACCCUGAUCCAGCAAUGCCGCGUGUUUGAAGAAGGCCUUCGGGUUGUAAAGCACUUUUGUCCUGAAAGAAAUCCCUAGUGCUAAUAACACUGGGGGAUGACAGUACCUGAAGAAUAAGCACCGGCUAACUACGUGCCAGCCGCCGCGGUAA